rnacentral:rRNA from 1 species
UAGUCCAUGCCGUAAACGAUGAUUACUCGAUGUUGGUUCGCCAGUGUCUAAGCGAAAGUUAUAAGUAAUCCACCUGGGGAGUACGCUCGCAAGAGUAAAACUCAAAUGAAUUGACGGGGUCCGCACAAGCGGUGGAGCAUGUGGUUUAAUUCGAUGAUACGCGAGGAACCUUACCUAGGCUCGAAUGCGAGUGCUAUCUGCUGAAAGGCGGAGUUUCUCGGAACACAAAGCAAGGUGCUGCAUGGUUGUCGUCAGCUCGUGCCGUGAGGUGUUGGGUUAAGUCCCGCAACGAGCGCAACCCUUAUUACUAGUUGCCAGCAUUUCGGAUGGGGACUCUAGUAAAACUGCCGGCGCAAGCCGUGAGGAAGGUGGGGAUGACGUCAAAUCAUCAUGGGCCUUUAUGCCUAGGGGCUACACACGUGCUACAAUGGAUGAGACAGAGGGUUGCUAGCCCGCAAGGGUGUGCUAAUCUCUAAAAACUCAUUCCCAGUU